AAAUUGAAGAGUUUGAUCAUGGCUCAGAUUGAACGCUGGCGGCAGGCCUAACACAUGCAAGUCGAACGGUAACAGGAAGCAGCUUGCUGCUUCGCUGACGAGUGGCGGACGGGUGAGUAAUGUCUGGGAAACUGCCUGAUGGAGGGGGAUAACUACUGGAAACGGUAGCUAAUACCGCAUAAUGUCGCAAGACCAAAGAGGGGGACCUUCGGGCCUCUUGCCAUCGGAUGUGCCCAGAUGGGAUUAGCUUGUUGGUGGGGUAACGGCUCACCAAGGCGACGAUCCCUAGCUGGUCUGAGAGGAUGACCAGCCACACUGGAACUGAGACACGGCCCAGACUCCUACGGGAGGCAGCAGUGGGGAAUAUUGCACAAUGGGCGCAAGCCUGAUGCAGCCAUGCCGCGUGUAUGAAGAAGGCCUUCGGGUUGUAAAGUACUUUCAGCGGGGAGGAAGGGAGUAA
rnacentral:rRNA from 1 species